GGAGGUUUGCUGGGGUCUUUUGCCCCAGCAGAGAGCAGGUGGGAUGCUCUCUGGCUGCCCUGACCUCCUGAAGCAUGGUGAGGACUGAGAGGACGCCCCCUUGGUGAGAGGCUAAGUUUAGAGGCCAAGAGCUUCUGGUGGGAUUUCCUUGGGUGCCUGAGGAACAGGAGGUCUCUGGGCUUUAUGCUGACGCCGGCGGGGGGCCCGUGUCUUGGAGGCUGCCUUCUUCGGAAUGUACACUAAGGGAAGAGAUGAACAGGAGAAUGGGAAGUAGCACAGAAACUACAGCUUCUGCCUCCCAGCUCUGUAAGGCCUAUGCAACAGCCUGGUGGGAAUCUCACAGUGGGAUCCUCCUCAAGACCUCAUUUGCCCCUGCCUACAACCACAAAGAAUUCAAGGCAGUUCCUACCAGGAAACAAUGUGAGAUCCCAGAGUCCUGAGACUGGGAUGGGAUUCUUGGAAAGGUAAGUCUAGGAAGCAUGGGUCCAAAAGGUUUUGGGAGGGAGUAAGUGGAAGCUAAGCUUGGAAAAAUUCAUUCAUUUUUCUGAGUUUUUCCUUUCUUUUUUUUUUUUGAGACAGAGUUUCGCUCUUGUUGCCGAGGCUGGAGUGCAAUGGCACAAUUUCGGCUCACAGCAACCUCCGCUUCCUGGGUUCAAGCGAUUCUCCUGCCUCAGCCUCCUGAGUAGCUGGGAUUACAGGCAUGCACUACCAUGCCUGGCUAAUUUUGUAUUUUUAGUAGAGAUGGGGUUUCUCCGUGUUAGUCAGGCUGGUCUCGAACUCCCGAUCUCAGGUGAUCCGCCUGGCCUGCCUCAGCCUCCCAAAGUGCUGGGAUUACAGGCGGCAGCCACCACGCCCAGCCUUUUUUUUUUUUUUUUUAAUCAAAGAUAUUAUAGAGAAAUAGAAUAAGAGCCAGGAGACAACUUUGGGCAUCCAGGACACUGGCUUUCCCCGGCUCUUCCAGAACCAGCCCCUCCCUGGGAUAAAGGCAGAAAGGGAUUUUCUGUGCCACUAUUUCCAAUGGAGGAGUGGUCCUGAAGUUCUGUAUCAAUAGCCACUUGCUACCAAGUCAGUGAGAAGAGAAAAGAACCUGCUGGUAGAGCAUACCUCCUCAUUGCUAGGUCCCUUCAGCAUGAAAUUUCUAUACCUAAUGGGGUCCAAUCCCAUCCUAAGACCUACAAUAUCCAGGUUCCUAUACAGAUUCAGGAUCUGGUGAGGGGGGAGCUUUCAAGAAGAAAUACGAUAGAAAAACCCAAGAGUCAAGGUGGUGGAGGAAGAAGCAAGGAUCCAGGAAACCGCCAUCCUAGUGUACACCCCUCCUCCCCUCGCUUUUCUUCUUUCUUUUUUUUUUUUUUGAGAUGAGGUCUCGCUAUGUUGUCCAGGCUGGUCUUGAACUACUGGACCCAAACUAUCCUACCACCUUAGCCUCUGGAGUAGCUGGGACUACAAGCACACACCUAGCCUAACAUCCCUUUUUUUUUUUUUUUGAAACGGAGUUUUGCUCUAUCACCCAUGCUGGAGUGCAGUGGUGUGAUCUCAGCUCACGGAAACCUCCACCUCCUGGGUUCAAGCGAUUCUCCUGCCUCAGCUUCCCGAGUAGCUGGGACUACAGGCACGUGCCACCGUGCCUGGCUAAUUUUUGUAUUUUUUUUUUUUUUAGUAGAGACGGGGUUUCACCAUGUUAGCCAGGCUGUUCUCGAACUCCUGACCUCAGGUGAUCCACCCGCCUCGGCCUCCAAAGUGGUGGGAUUACAGGCGUGAGCCACCGCGCCCCGUCCUAACAUGGCUUUUGAUAAUCACCCCCACACGAGCCUCUCCGCUGCCCCUACUGCUCUCAGCCACACAGCCUCCCUCAGGAGAAUGAGGGUUCAUCGAACUCACCUUUCUGCCAUCUCAUAAAAG